GUACUGGAAACCCCUAGCUCAAAUGACACUCCUCCCUAUGGUAGGAUAAGUCCAGCAAACUGCUUCCUAAGGGUAAGACCUAUGGGCAACAGAUGAUUCAGCAAAGGGAGCAAAAAAAAUACAUAUUACUACCCUUGUAUGAUUCAAGGAAAUCCCUUGAUGUCAGCACCACUAGAUGGAUGUUUUAUUUCCAGAAGAGAUGAUCUCAGGGUUAGGAAAAAGGCAGGAAAAGAGACUGCGAGAAGAUGCAGGGUGUCACCCAGCUGCAUACUUUAGGUGAAGAUAAGUAUAUAAAUGGGUUGCUUUACAACAUACCAAUUAAAUAUACACACACCUGAAAAUGUAUUGCUAAUUUAUGACUAUGGUAAAUACAACUAUUAGCUGUUAGAGGUCUUAUGAUCUGAAGCUAAAGUGAACUGUGAUCUUGACAUUCUUUGUCCUGUGCUAUGCAUUUUCACAAGUACUGAAGACCACUUCCUAAGAGAAAGUAAAAGGUGGAUAUUUUUAUUGACUUUAAACUUUCCAUUAUGCCAUAGAAAAUACUUUUUAUACUAUACCAUUAUAUUUUAAUAGUGAAGUUAAUUAUUAUGUUACUGUAUAACAAAUAGACUUGUGACUGGCUGGCAAAAGUCCUGUACAGGCAUACCUUGUUUUAUUGCGCUUCGCAGAUAUUGCGUUUUUUACAAAUUGAAGGUUUGUGGCAACCCUGCGUUGAGCAAGUCUAUCGGGGCAUUUUUCCAACAGCAUUUGCUCACUUCGUGUCUCUGUGUUACAUUUUGGUAAUUCUCGCAAUAUUUCAAACUUCAGCAACUACCACCCUGAUCAGUCAGCAGCCAUCAACAUCAAGGCAAGACCCUCUGCCAGCAAAAAGAUUACGACUCACUGAAGGCUCAGAUGAUGGUUAACAUUUUUUAGCAAUGAAGUGUUUUUUAAUUAAGGGCACACAGAGCCUGAACCGGGGAAAUCAAGCCCAAGCAGCCUGCAGGGUCAAGAAGAAGAGGAGAGGCAACUCUGCGGAUCAGGACGUCUCAAAAGGAGAGAGCAGAUGCCGAGACGAGUGGUCAAUAGUCACCCGGGGUAAAGAGACGUUGAGGGAUGGGCACACCAGAGACAGGCCGGUGGUCCAUCAUCUGGGUGUCCUGAGGGGUGGCAUAUGGCUGGGGUGUAGGGGAGGUGGAGCCCCAAGAGUGCCCAGUCUGUGUGAUUCCAUGAAGGACAGUCCUACCCCUCUAACUUAUGUUAUUUGCAAAGUAUUUCCUUGUUUGCAGUAGUAUUUCCUUGUUCAUUUUGUGAGUAUAGUGCAGUGUCCUCAAGCCUUGUACAAGCUAAUGAAAAGGGCUAUUAACUCACCUGGUAAAAUAAAGCUAAAGAUGUUAAACGGAUUAGAGUUAUG
rnacentral:lncRNA from 1 species